rnacentral:rRNA from 1 species
UACGUAGGGACCAAGCGUUGUUCGGAUUUACUGGGCGUAAAGGGCGCGUAGGCGGCGUGGUAAGUCACUUGUGAAAUCUCUGAGCUUAACUCAGAACGGUCAAGUGAUACUGCUGUGCUAGAGUGCGGAAGGGGCAAUCGGAAUUCUUGGUGUAGCGGUGAAAUGCGUAGAUAUCAAGAGGAACACCGAUGGCGAAGGCAGGUCUCUGGGCCACUACUGACGCUGAGAAGCGAAAGCAUGGGGAGCGAACAGG